UACGUGGGGGGCAAGCGUUGUUCGGAAUUACUGGGCGUAAAGGGUUCGUAGGCGGUGCGGCAAGUUGGGUGUGAAAUCUCUGGGCUUAACCCAGAGGCUGCUUCCAAAACUGCUGUGCUUGAGUGUGGGAGAGGCGCGUGGAAUUGCAGGUGUAGCGGUGAAAUGCGUAGAUAUCUGCAGGAACACCCGUGGCGAAAGCGGCGCGCUGGACCACUACUGACGCUGAGGAACGAAAGCGAGGGGAGCAAACAGG
rnacentral:rRNA from 1 species